rnacentral:tRNA from 1 species
GGGCUCGUAGCUCAGUGGCAGAGCGGUCGGCUCAUAACCGAUUGGUCGUUGGUUCGAAUCCAGCCGAGCCCACCA